GACGAACCGUGCAAACGUUAUUCGGAAUCACUGGGCUUAAAGGGUGCGUAGGCGGACUCGUAAGUCAGGGGUGAAAGCCCACGGCCCAACCGUGGAAGUGCCUCUGAUACUGCGAGCCUCGAGGGGGGAUAGGGGGCGUGCGGAACUCAGGGUGGAGCGGUGAAAUGCGUAGAUAUCCUGAGGAACACCGGUGGCGAAAGCGGCGCGCUGGAUCCCUACUGACGCUGAGGCACGAAAGCCAGGGGAGCAAACGGGG
rnacentral:rRNA from 1 species